AAUAGAUACCCGGGUAGUCCACGCCGUAAACGAUGAGUGCUAAGUGUUAGGGGGGUUUCCGCCCCUUAGUGCUGCAGCUAACGCAUUAAGCACUCCGCCUGGGGAGUACGGUCGCAAGACUGAAACUCAAAGGAAUUGACGGGGGCCCGCACAAGCGGUGGAGCAUGUGGUUUAAUUCGAAGCAACGCGAAGAACCUUACCAGGUCUUGACAUCCCGUUGACCGGCCUAGAGAUAGGCUUUUCCCUUCGGGGACAGCGGUGACAGGUGGUGCAUGGUUGUCGUCAGCUCGUGUCGUGAGAUGUUGGGUUAAGUCCCGCAACGAGCGCAACCCUUGAUCUUAGUUGCCAGCAUUCAGUUGGGCACUCUAAGGUGACUGCCGGUGAUAAACCGGAGGAAGGUGGGGAUGACGUCAAAUCAUCAUGCCCCUUAUGACCUGGGCUACACACGUGCUACAAUGGACGGUACAGGAGGUCGCAACCCCGCGAGGGUGAGCUAAUCCCAUAAAAUCGUUCUCAGUUCGGAUUGUAGGCUGCAACUCGACCUAAC
rnacentral:rRNA from 1 species